UACGUAGGGUGCGAGCGUUAAUCGGAAUUACUGGGCGUAAAGAGUGCGUAGGCGGUUCUUGAAGUCCGCUGUGAAAACCCCGGGCUUAACCUGGGAAUGGCAGUGGAAACUGGAGGACUUGAAUUGAGCAGAGGGGGGUGGAAUGCCGCGUGUAGCAGUGAAAUGCGUAGAGAUGCGGCGGAACACCGAUGGCGAAGGCAGCCCCCUGGGCUUAAAUUGACGCUGAGGCACGAAAGCGUGGGGAGCAAACAGG
rnacentral:rRNA from 1 species